GCAGGGAGGCGGAUGGUUUAGCGGCGGGGUCGGUGAGGUGAUGGUGGUUGUACUUCGGAAUUUUUAAAUGUGGGUCAGUACCUGAGAGGAGCUCAGUCAAAGCUUCUCAAUGAAGAAAUGGAUUCAUACUGAAAAGGAUCAGUCCCGAUCUGGGGAGUUGAUUGAAGGAGGUUAGAAUCCUUGCCCAGCUUACAUGAUUAUAACUUCUUCUAGCAAAUUUCCUCAGCCGAAGAACGAUCCUAUUUUCUCCAUUCCAUCCAUGCAUCUCCUAAAUCUCUUCUGUCAGCCUCACCAAAAACAAUGAAGCAGAAAAAUCAAGAAGUAGUGGUGAGAACAGAAUGACCAAUUCAUGCGUCACUGCACAUAUUUUCUUUCUCAUGCAUUCUAUUUUUAAGUGAAAUGGGUCCCAAUCUCAAUCUACUUACUUAAUUCUGAAUAACCUACAUAUCUG